ACUGGAGAGUUUUGCUCUUCUGGGUGUUCAAGAUGAUGCCAAUUACUAUUAAAGCAACAUGCCAAAAAAAAGCAGAAGACAUAUAAAGGGCCAAUCAGAGGUGUUAAGUUCCCAGGGUGGGUUUCUAUAUGGCAGGGUUGCAUGCACAGCUGGUAAAGGGUGAGGCUGAAGCAAUGAGCCCGGGGCCUUGCCUUUCUCCUAAGGUCUCUUGCUCUUCUGGUUGCUCAGAGAUGGGUCAAAGCCAAAAUACAAAUGUGAAGUCACAAAUUCAAGGGUAUUUACAAAGCAUCUAAGGAAUUAGUGUGCUAACCAUGUUUUGGUGGCUGUAGUUUUUAAUCACUUUUCUCUUUCUAUAGACUCUUCAUGGUCUCAGAGAAGACUACAAAAAUGAUUCAUCAAAAGAAACCCAACUAGCCCACAACAUAUAUGCUAGCAAGAGAACAGCGUUAGUACUGAACAAGACAAAGCUAUUGUAUCACUCAAUGUAUGAAGAAAUGUAAGAAGAAACAGAGGUGUUUUUUUUUCUCUUCCUGAAAAUCUGAAGUAAGCAGAACACUCAGAUUCUUUCAAUCCCUGCCUCUACCGGAUGCUGUUCCACACUUCUCUCCAUAGAGUCUGAAACAUGUAGCAGUCUAUGGUCUGAUCUUCCCCUUCUGAAGCUGUAUCCUUGUAAAGGAAAAUACUUAUAUUAAUGGAUCAUACAACAGGAGGUGAGAGAGAGAGGGAUCCUCUAUGUGAAUUAACAGGUUACCCUUUCUUUCGUGUCAAUGCCCAGGCAAGACAGUCCAUAAUAAAUGUGACUCUUUGGGAUGCAGAAAUGGAACUUGGCUGGAAAUGUGUGAAGUUUUGCUUUUAGUUAAGUUGAAUGUCAUCCUCUCUUUGAAGAAGACAAAGAAGACAAGGAAGGAAAGUAUAAUUUAUCCACUGUAUUGACAUUUGGGUUUGGAAAGUACAAAAAUAUGUGAGCUGCACAUACUAUUAAUAUUAAUAAUGUUAAAAAAAAAAAUCCCUCACAAGGGCUUUGUGUUAAUCUUACAUGAUUCAACUCUUGGUUGCAUAAUGAAGAUCUUACAUAUUUAAUAAGCAAAUUGAAGUAGGCCCAAAUGAGUGAACAACAUAACACUGCAAAAAGAAACAGGGAGGAGGGAAUUCUUGUCAGAUGAGGUUGCUGGAAAAAAAAAAAAAAACUGAUCUACUGACAUUUUUAUGUCUCCCAUCAAAUGUCAUUGUGAAUUGAAAGUGGAAUGUCUGAAAAUAAAAGCAGCAGUAAGUUUCUAUAUAACCUGAUG
rnacentral:lncRNA from 1 species